AUAUCCUAUUGCAAAUUAUAGAAAGGAUAAUUAAUGCCACUAUUAACAGAUGUUCUAAUGAAUUUCUAGAUAGUGACCCACAGACAGGAGCUGAUGAAUUAUGAAGAAAAGAGUGUGAAGUAAAUUCUGACAUGUUAUAAAUGGAUGCAGUUACAUCAGAUUCAUAGAAGAGCCAGAUGGAGCCUGCGGCACACUUGUCCUCAAGAAACCAGAACAAGGAGGAGAAGGUGCCCAGAAUCUACAUCACCUGGGAGCGAAGGCUUGUAUUUUCCUCUCUCCUGUCCAUAUGUCAGCUAAGUCUUGGAUUCAGUCACAGGAGCUAACCAUAUCCAGUGGUCCUGCAGUCACACUGUCACCUAGGG
rnacentral:lncRNA from 12 species